rnacentral:rRNA from 1 species
CCUACGGGAGGCAGCAGUAGGGAAUUUUCGUCAAUGGGCGCAAGCCUGAACGAGCAAUGCCGCGUGAGUGAAGAAGGUCUUCGGAUCGUAAAGCUCUGUUGCGGGGGAAAAAAAGCAGCAUCAGGAAAUGAACGCCGACUGAUGGUACCCCGCCAGAAAGUCACGGCUAACUACGUGCCAGCAGCCGCGGUAAUACGUAGGUGGCGAGCGUUAUCCGGAAUGAUUGGGCGUAAAGGGUGCGCUGGCGGUCCUGCAAGUCUGGAGUGAAAGGCACGGGCUCAACCCAGGCAAGGCUUUGGAAACUGGAGGACUUGAGAGCAGGAGAGGGCGGUGGAACUCCAUGUGUAGCGGUAAAAUGCGUAGAUAUAUGGAAGAACACCAGUGGCGAAGGCGGCCGCCUGGCCUGUUGCUGACGCUGAGGCACGAAAGCGUGGGGAGCAAAUAGGAUUAGAUACCCGUGUAGUC